rnacentral:rRNA from 1 species
AAGACCUUGCGUUUUUGGAGCGGCCGAUGUCUGAUUAGCUAGUUGGUGGGGUAAUGGCCUACCAAGGCUUCGAUCAGUAGCUGGUCUGAGAGGACGGCCAGCCACACUGGGACUGAGACACGGCCCAGACUCCUACGGGAGGCAGCAGUGGGGAAUUUUGGACAAUGGGCGCAAGCCUGAUCCAGCCAUGCCGCGUGAGUGAAGAAGACCUUCGGGUUGUAAAGCUCUUUCAGCCGAGAAGAAAAGAUUGCGACUAAUAAUCGCAAUUCAUGACGGUACCGGCAGAAGAAGCACCGGCUAACUACGUGCCAGCAGCCGCGGUAAUACGUAGGGUGCGAGCGUUAAUCGGAAUUACUGGGCGUAAAGGGUGCGCAGGCGGUUUUGUAAGUCAGAUGUGAAAUCCCCGGGCUUAACCUGGGAACU